rnacentral:rRNA from 1 species
UACGUAGGGUGCAAGCGUUGUCCGGAAUUAUUGGGCGUAAAGGGCUCGUAGGCGGUUUGUUGCGUCGGGAGUGAAAACACUGGGCUUAACCGAGUGCUUGCUUUCGAUACGGGCAGACUUGAGGCAUUGAGGGGAGAACGGAAUUCCUGGUGUAGCGGUGAAAUGCGCAAAUAUCAGGAGGAACACCGGUGGCGAAGGCGGUU